rnacentral:rRNA from 1 species
UUAAGCGACUAAGCGUACACGGUGGAUGCCCUGGCAGUCAGAGGCGAUGAAGGACGUGCUAAUCUGCGAAAAGCGCCGGCGAGGUGAUAUGAACCCUUGACCCGGCGAUGUCCGAAUGGGGAAACCCAGUGUGUUCCGACACACUAUCGUUAACUGAAUACAUAGGUUAACGAGGCGAACCGGGGGAACUGAAACAUCUAAGUACCCCGAGGAAAAGAAAUCAACCGAGAUUCCCCCAGUAGCGGCGAGCGAACGGGGAGCAGCCCGGAGUCUGAAUCAGCUUGUGUGUUAGUGGAACGGUCUGGAAAGUCCGACGGUACAGGGUGAUAGUCCCGUACACGAAAAUGCACUUGCUGUGAACUCGAAGAGUAGGGCGGGACACGUGGUAUCCUGUCUGAAUAUGGGGGGACCAUCCUCCAAGGCUAAAUACUCCUGACUGACCGAUAGUGAACCAGUACCGUGAGGGAAAGGCGAAAAGAACCCCGGCGAGGGGAGUGAAAAAGAACCUGAAACCGUGUACGUACAAGCAGUGGGAGCACCUUCGGGUGUGACUGCGUACCUUUUGUAUAAUGGGUCAGCGACUUAUAUUCUGUAGCAAGGUUAACCGUAUAGGGGAGCCGAAGGGAAACCGAGUCUUAACUGGGCGUUAAGUUGCAGGGUAUAGACCCGAAACCCGGUGAUCUAGCCAUGGGCAGGUUGAAGGUUGGGUAACACUAACUGGAGGACCGAACCGACUAAUGUUGAAAAAUUAGCGGAUGACCUGUGGCUGGGGGUGAAAGGCCAAUCAAACCGGGAGAUAGCUGGUUCUCCCCGAAAGCUAUUUAGGUAGCGCCUCGUGAACUCAUCUUCGGGGGUAGAGCACUGUUUCGGCUAGGGGGCCAUCCCGGCUUACCAACCCGAUGCAAACUACGAAUACCGAAGAAUGUUAUCACGGGAGACACACGGCGGGUGCUAACGUCCGUCGUGAAGAGGGAAACAACCCAGACCGCCAGCUAAGGUCCCAAAGUCAUGGUUAAGUGGGAAACGAUGUGGGAAGGCACAGACAGCCAGGAUGUUGGCUUAGAAGCAGCCAUCAUUUAAAGAAAGCGUAAUAGCUCACUGGUCGAGUCGGCCUGCGCGGAAGAUGUAACGGGGCUAAACCAUGCACCGAAGCUGCGGCAGCGACACUAUGUGUUGUUGGGUAGGGGAGCGUUCUGUAAGCCGUUGAAGGUGUGCUGUGAGGCAUGCUGGAGGUAUCAGAAGUGCGAAUGCUGACAUAAGUAACGAUAAAGCGGGUGAAAAGCCCGCUCGCCGGAAGACCAAGGGUUCCUGUCCAACGUUAAUCGGGGCAGGGUGAGUCGACCCCUAAGGCGAGGCCGAAAGGCGUAGUCGAUGGGAAACAGGUUAAUAUUCCUGUACUUGGUGUUACUGCGAAGGGGGGACGGAGAAGGCUAUGUCAGCCGGGCGACGGUUGUCCCGGUUUAAGCAUGUAGGCGGAGGUUCCAGGUAAAUCCGGUACCUUUUAACGCUGAGGUGUGAUGACGAGGCACUACGGUGCUGAAGUGAUAAAUGCCCUGCUUCCAGGAAAAGCCUCUAAGCAUCAGGUAACACGAAAUCGUACCCCAAACCGACACAGGUGGUCAGGUAGAGAAUACCAAGGCGCUUGAGAGAACUCGGGUGAAGGAACUAGGCAAAAUGGUGCCGUAACUUCGGGAGAAGGCACGCUGAUAUGUAGGUGAAGCCCCUGCGGGCGGAGCUGAAAUCAGUCGAAGAUACCAGCUGGCUGCAACUGUUUAUUAAAAACACAGCACUGUGCAAACACGAAAGUGGACGUAUACGGUGUGACGCCUGCCCGGUGCCGGAAGGUUAAUUGAUGGGGUUAGCGGCAACGCGAAGCUCUUGAUCGAAGCCCCGGUAAACGGCGGCCGUAACUAUAACGGUCCUAAGGUAGCGAAAUUCCUUGUCGGGUAAGUUCCGACCUGCACGAAUGGCGUAAUGAUGGCCAGGCUGUCUCCACCCGAGACUCAGUGAAAUUGAACUCGCUGUGAAGAUGCAGUGUACCCGCGGCAAGACGGAAAGACCCCGUGAACCUUUACUAUAGCUUGACACUGAACACUGGUCCUUGAUGUGUAGGAUAGGUGGGAGGCUUUGAAGCGUGGACGCCAGUCUGCGUGGAGCCAUCCUUGAAAUACCACCCUUUAAUGGCUGGUGUUCUAACGUAGACCCGUGAUCCGGGUUGCGGACAGUGUCUGGUGGGUAGUUUGACUGGGGCGGUCUCCUCCCAAAGAGUAACGGAGGAGCACGAAGGUUGGCUAAUCCUGGUCGGACAUCAGGAGGUUAGUGCAAUGGCAUAAGCCAGCUUGACUGCGAGCGUGACGGCGCGAGCAGGUGCGAAAGCAGGUCAUAGUGAUCCGGUGGUUCUGAAUGGAAGGGCCAUCGCUCAACGGAUAAAAGGUACUCCGGGAUAACAGGCUGAUACCGCCCAAGAGUUCAUAUCGACGGCGGUGUUUGGCACCUCGAUGUCGGCUCAUCACAUCCUGGGGCUGAAGUAGGUCCCAAGGGUAUGGCUGUUCGCCAUUUAAAGUGGUACGCGAGCUGGGUUUAGAACGUCGUGAGACAGUUCGGUCCCUAUCUGCCGUGGGCGCUGGAGAAUUGAGGGGGGCUGCUCCUAGUACGAGAGGACCGGAGUGGACGCAUCACUGGUGUUCGGGUUGUCAUGCCAAUGGCACUGCCCGGUAGCUAAAUGCGGAAGAGAUAAGUGCUGAAAGCAUCUAAGCACGAAACUUGCCCCGAGAUGAGUUCUCCCUGAGACUUUAAGUCUCCUGAAGGAACGUUGAAGACGACGACGUUGAUAGGUCGGGUGUGUAAGCGCAGCGAUGCGUUGAGCUAACCGAUACUAAUGAACCGUGAGGCUUAACCUU